AGGACGAACGCUGGCGGCGUGCUUAACACAUGCAAGUCGAGCGGAAAGGCCCUUCGGGGUACUCGAGCGGCGAACGGGUGAGUAACACGUGAGUAAUCUGCCCCUAGCUCUGGGAUAGCUCCGGGAAACCGGGAUUAAUACCGGAUACGACCACCUUAGACAUCUUUUGUGGUGGAAAGAAUUUCGGCUAGGGAUGAGCUCGCGGCCUAUCAGCUUGUUGGUGGGUAACGGCCUACCAAGGCGACGACGGUAGCC
rnacentral:rRNA from 1 species